CCAGGUGCUUCCUGGUGUUUUAUUGCAGGAUCACAGGCAGGGGAACCGAAACGGUCGGCAGCGCGUCCAGGAAGCGUCGCCGACAGAUAGAGAAAUGCAACAAUAUCCGCGACUCUCUGUCAGGUUGCCGCGAAACUAGAAGGUUCGCAGGCAGCGCGCGACGGUGUUUUGUUUUCCCGCCGUCGGCGCGAGCAGCUGCUGACGCGAUGCUUUAGCCAUGGACAGCAGGAUAAACGAGAAUCCUGCGAGAACUUUUGAUUUGGCUCUUCAGGUUGCAUGUCCAUCGUCUGAAAAUGAAGAUCCGACAGUGCUGUGGAAGUUCCCUCAGGACUUUGGAGACCAGGAGGUCCUGCAGACAGUGCCUAAGUUCUGCUUCCCAUUUGACGUUGAAAGGUAGGACAUCCUUCAUGCUUCCGGGUAAAGAAGUUAAUAGACGUGUGAUUUGGGAAAAUGAGGAUGUUUGUUUAUCCAACACGCAUUCACACACGCACAAGAGGCUGUCGUAAAUGACUCACAGGGUGGAGCCGCACACCUCCUUUGCUUCUGCUUCUGUUUCUAAUGUCAGACCUUUCACUGAGAGGUCCGUAGAAAUAAAGCACCUUUAUAGAAAUUAAGAUCUCCGCCC
ensembl:lncRNA